rnacentral:rRNA from 1 species
CAGUCGCCGCGGUAAUACGUAGGUGGCAAGCGUUGUCCGGAAUUAUUGGGCGUAAAGGGCUCGCAGGCGGUUUCUUAAGUCUGAUGUGAAAUCUAUGGGCUCAACCCAUAGUCUGCAUCGGAAACUGUCAGGCUUGAGGAUGGGAGAGGUGAGUGGAAUUUCCGGUGUAGCGGUGAAAUGCGUAGAUAUCGGAAGGAACACCCGUGGCGAAAGCGGCUCACUGGACCAUUUCUGACGCUGAUGCACGAAAGCUAGGGGAGCAAACAGGAUUAGAUACCCGGGUAGUCCCUGUCUCUUAUAC